UUGGAGGGCAAGUCUGGUGCCAGCAGCCGCGGUAAUUCCAGCUCCAAUAGCGUAUAUUAAAGUUGCUGCAGUUAAAAAGCUCGUAGUUGAAUUUCGGGACUAAUAUGUCGGUCGUUCCUCGGUACGUACUGGUAUUUUUGGUUUCUCCCUUCUGACGAACCUUGAUGUCAUUAAUUUGGUGUCUUGGGAAAUCAGGACUGUUACUUUGAAAAAAUUAGAGUGUUUAAAGCAGGCUCACGCCUGAAUACAUUAGCAUGGAAUAAUGAAAUAGGACGUUUGAUUCUAUUUUGUUGGUUUCUAGGAUUGACGUAAUGAUUAAUAGGGAUAGUUGGGGGCAUUAGUAUUCAAUUGUCAGAGGUGAAAUUCUUGGAUUUAUUGAAGACUAACUACUGCGAAAGCAUUUGCCAAGGAUGUUUUCAUUAAUCAAGAACGAAAGUUAGGGGAUCGAAGACGAUCAGAUACCGUCGUAGUCUUAACCAUAAACUAUGCCGACUAGGGAUCGGAUGAUGUUAAUUUUUUAAUGACUCAUUCGGCGCCUUACGGGAAAC
rnacentral:rRNA from 1 species